CCCGAUAAGGGCAAACCGGUCGUGAGGUCGGGACGCAAAGCCACGGGUCUCCUUGGAGAUCGCCGGGCUGCCGAAG
rnacentral:ncRNA from 1 species